rnacentral:rRNA from 1 species
CCUACGGGUGGCAGCAGUGGGGAAUAUUGCACAAUGGGGGAAACCCUGAUGCAGCGACGCCGCGUGAGUGAAGAAGUAUUUCGGUAUGUAAAGCUCUAUCAGCAGGGAGGAAAAUGACGGUACCUGACCAAGAAGCCCCGGCUAACUACGUGCCAGCAGCCGCGGUAAUACGUAGGGGGCAAGCGUUAUCCGGAUUUACUGGGUGUAAAGGGAGCGUAGACGGGUAUUGAAGUCUGGAGUGAAAGCCCGGGGCUCAACCCCGGGACUGCUUUGGAAACUGUGUGACUGGAGUGCAGGAGGGGUAGGCGGAAUUCCUGGUGUAGCGGUGAAAUGCGUAGAUAUCAGGAGGAACACCGGCUGCGAAGGCGGCUUGCUGGACUGAAACUGACGUUGAGGCUCGAAAGCGUGGGGAGCAAACAGGAGUAGAUACCCGAGUAGUC